GUGCACACUAUCUCAUUGGACAGCAGCGUUGUCCAUCACACACUCUGCAUUGUGAUUGGUUGGUUGAUUUUGAAGACUCGCUGUACAGAAAGAUAGCUGGGAGCGAAAACAAAACACACAUAUGGACCUCGAAAAAGAAGGAAAAGUCGUUGAGUGAUCUCUUCAGUCUGCUGAGGUUGAGCUGAAUAGAUGAGGUACAUCAUGCACUAUGGCACAUGGGAUGGAUGGGCAUCGGUUGAGAAGGCAUUUGGUGAGGUGAUCAUGGUCAAAGAAGUCCUCAUACACAAAUACUGCUGAAAGAUUAAAGUAAUGAAAUGCUCUGCAUUGUUGUGCAGCUGUGUGGAACACUGUUAGACACUUCUUUUAAGAAGUUUCACUGAGAAGAGACACAUUAAUAAACUGUCUUUACACUACCAGCUGAAAUAGUCAGUUGUUACAGGUUGGUUAAGGCAAUCUGCAUUUUUUUCUGAAGACAUCACUGUUGUCAGAAAUGUUAAAUGUUAUCAUGAUUCUGUGCAAACUGUGCUUUAUAAAGUGCUGCUGUGUUGUAUACUAAAGAUGGUGAUUUGAAUAAAGGUCUUUUUUCAUUUCAUUGCUCAUUUUUGUUUCCAAAGGAG
rnacentral:lncRNA from 1 species